GGGCCGGACGGGCAGGACGGGCCGGACCGGCCGCUCCCGCUCCCACAACCCCUCCCCCCGGCUCCACUCGUCCCUGCUCCACCUCCGGACCACCCAGUCCUCCCCCCAGCCCCCUCGGCCGGGGAUGGAGGUGCCCAGGAUGGGGAGGGGCCGGAUGGGCCAGGCAGCCACGGGGGUGAGGGGGAGGAGAACAGGAGCAGGAGGAGGAGGAGGAGGAGAAGCAGAAGAAGAGAAGGAGGAGGAGGAGGAGGAGGAGACAAGGAGGAGGAGGAGGACGAGAAGAAGGAGAAGAGGAGGAGGAGAAGGAGAAAGGGAGGAGGAGAAGGAAAAGAGGAGGAGAAGGAGAAGAGGAGGAGGAGAAGAGGAGGAGAAGGAGAAGAGGAGGAGGAGGAGAAGAGGAGGAGGAGGAGAAGAGGAGGAGAAGGAGAAGAGGAGGAGGAGGAGAAGAGGAGGAGGAGGAGAAGAGGAGGAGAAGGAGAAGGAGAAGAGGAGGAGAAGGAGGAGGAGGAGGAGGAGGAGGAGGAGGAGAAGAGGAGGAGAAGAGGAAGAGGAGAAGGAGAAGAGGAAGAAGAGGAGGAGAAGGAGAAGAGAAAGAGGAGAGGAGGAGGAGGAGGAGAAGAGGAGGAGAAGGAGAAGGAGAAGAGGAGGAGGAGGAGGAGGAGGAGGAGGAGAAGAGGAGGAGAAGAAGAGGAAGAGGAGAAGGAGAAGAGGAAGAAGAGGAGGAGAAGGAGAAGAGAAAGAGGAGAAGAGGAGGAGAAGGAGAAGAGGAAGAAGAGGAGGAGAAGGAGAAGAGAAAGAGGAGAAGAGGAGGAGGAGGAGAAGAGGAAGAGAAGGAGAAGAGGAGGAGGAGGAGAAGGAGAAGAGGAGGAGAAGGAGAAGAGGAAGAGGAGAAGAGGAGGAGAAGGGGAAGAGAAGGCAAAGAGGAGGAGAAGCGGGGUAGGCGAAGAGGAGGAGGAGAAGGAGGAGAAGAGGAGGAGAAGAGGAGGAGGAGGAGAGGAGGAGAGGAGGAGGAAAACAGCAGGAGGGGGAGGAGAGGAAGAGGAGGGAAAGAGGGGGGGAGGGAAGAGGAGGAGGAAGAGGAGGAGAAGGAGGAGAGAAGGGGGUAGAGGAAGAGGAGGAGGAGGAAGGGGAGAAGAGGAGGAAGAGGAAGAGGAGGAGAAGAGGAGAGGGAAGAGAAGGAGAGGAGGAGGAGCAGGAGGAAGAAGAAGGGGAGAAGAGGAGGAGGAUAAAAAGGAGGAAGAGAAGGGGAAGGAGGAGAGGGGAGGAGGAGAGGAAGAAAAGGAGGAGGAGCAGAGGAGAGGGAAGAGAAGGAGAAGGAGAGGAGGAGCGGGAGGAAGAAGAAAAGGAGAAGAGAGAGGAGGAGGAGGAGGAAAAGGAGGAGGAGGAGAGAAGGGGAAAGAGGCGGAGGAGGAGGAGGACGGGGAUAAGGGGAGGAGAGGAGGAAAGGGAGGAAGAGAAGAGGAGGCGGAGGAGGAGAAAAGGAGGAGGGGGAAGAGGAGGAGAAGAGGAAGAAGGAGGAGGAUGGAAGGAGGAGGAAGUGGAGGCAAAAAGGAAGAGGAGGUGAGGAGAGGAGAGGAAGAGGAAGAAGAGGAGGAGGGGGAGAAGAGGAAGAGGCGGCGGCGGCGGCGGCGGCGGCGGGUGGUCGGGCCCGUGUGUGUGCCGGCGGGGCAGCGGCGGGCGGGCGGGCGGGCGAGGAGCGGGGGGGGGGGGGGGGACCCGCUCACCGCCCCUCCCCUCCGGCCGCCCCUCGCCGGCCUCCCGCCCAUCGGGCCGCCUUCUGCCUGCCUUCUGGCCGCCCCGAACCCGGUGAGUGGCACACACGGCCCGGGGACGCGGGCGCCGGAGGGCCACGGCGGGGGCGGGGGCGGGGGGCCGGGACCCCGGGGGGAGGAGGGCUCCAGCCCCUGGACCGGCCCGGGACCCCGCGAAACGGGGGCUCUGACCUCUCCCUCCCUCCCACUGCGCUGCACGCCGCACCCCCACCAUCGGACCCCCGCCCCCUUCCUUCCUCCUUCUCCCGCUUUCCAUCUCUCUCUCCUUCCAUCUCUCUCCCUUUCCGUCUCUCUCUCUCUCUCCCUUUCCGUCUCUCUCCCUUUCCAUCUCUCUCUCUCUCUCUUUCCAUCUCUCUCUCCUUCCAUCUCUCGCUCUCCAUCCCUCCUUUUCAGCUCUCUCUCUCUCUCUCCAUCUCUCCCUCCCUUCAUCUCUCUCUCUCUCCAUCUCUCCCUCUCUUUCCAUAUCUCUCUCUUCAUCUCUCCUUCCAUCUCUCUCUCUUUCCAUCUCUCCCUCUCCCUUUCCAUCUCUCUCUCUUUCCUUCCCUCUCUGCAUCUCCAUCUCUCUCUCCUUCCAUCUCUCUCUAUCUCUUUCCAUCUCUCUCUCUCUCUCUCCAUCCCUCCUUUCCAUCUCUCUCUCAUUCCAUCUCUCCCUCUUUUCGUCUCUCUCUCUCUCUCUCUCCAUCUCUCCCUCUCUCUUUCCAUAUCUCUCUCUCCUUCCAUCUCUCUCUCUUUCCAUCUCUAUCUCUUUCCAUCUCUCUUUUCAUCUCUCUCUCUCUCUCUCUCUCUCCCUUCAUCUCUCUCCCCUUCCAUCUCUCUCUCUCUCUUCCCAUCUCUCCCUCUUUUCGUUUCUCUUUCCAUCUAA
rnacentral:lncRNA from 1 species